GAUGAACGCUAGCGGCAGGCCUAACACAUGCAAGUCGAGGGAGAAGCCCUUUCGGGGGCAGAAACCGGCGCACGGGUGCGUAACGCGUAUGCAACCUACCUUUCACAGGGGGAUAGCCCAAAGAAAUUUGGAUUAAUACCCCAUAAUAUUAUUGGAUGGCAUCAUUUGAUAAUUAAAACUGCGGUGGUGAAAGAUGGGCAUGCGUCCUAUUAGCUAGUUGGAGUGGUAACGGCACCCCAAGGCUACGAUAGGUAGGGGUCCUGAGAGGGAGAUCCCCCACACUGGUACUGAGACAGGGACCAGACUCCUACGGGAGGCAGCAGUGAGGAAUAUUGGUCAAUGGUCGGAAGACUGAACCAGCCAUGCCGCGUGCAGGAAGAAUGCCUUAUGGGUUGUAAACUGCUUUUAUAUGGGAAGAAUAAGGUGUACGUGUACAUUGAUGACGGUACCAUAUGAAUAAGCAUCGGCUAACUCCGUG
rnacentral:rRNA from 1 species